GAGCGAAAGAAGCGCAAGAAGGACCUACUUUUGGCCAGUUUUCUCGCCCUCGCCUUGGAUCUCAUCUUGUCGGCUUGUAGAUUCCUCGCGUCCUCCUUGAGCUCAGAAGCAGAAGCAGCGCUAUCUUCAUCUCACGAGCAUUCAUCUCGGAUCUCCCCCCACCUCCCCUUCUUGAGCACUUGAGGAGGAAUAAGUGCUAUUUUUCAGGGACCUGCGGAAUCCGGUGCGACACUGGACAUUGGAUCCUGGAUGGGGUCAAGGUCGCAGCCCUCGUGCGCAAGAUUGUUGCCAUUUUCCUGUGGUUUAGCACAGGAAGGGAGGGAUGCUGGCCCAGACCCCGGAAGAGAGGUGUUCUGCAAACCAGGCCUCAGUAACAUCCACCUUGAGAACUGAUGUCAGGGACGGAGUUUUUGUCCUCUUAAUUAAUUAAGGACAGAAUUUAAGAGGUUUGCCAACUGAGUAUCAAAUCAGUCACUAGCCUAAAUAAAUCCCUGUAAUUUUAAACGUAUUAAACCACUAUAUAUGUUUGAACAUGUCACAG